GAAGACCACACCUGAUUCUCACCAUCUGGGCGUGGGUGAAUCCUCAGAGCUACCGGCUUUGACCUUCCUGCCAUCCCUCGCCCAUCACUCCCAACGGAGUUCUCUUCUCAGAAGAACUCCCGAGUCUUCAACCCGCUUGUCGCCAAAUCCAGCGUCGUCUUCUCUCUCGCUCCUCCUGCUUCUCUCGGGUCACUCGCGCGCUUUCCAUUCCCCCAAGUUCCAGCGCGUGAAUAUUGCGGUGCGGUUGGAUCUGACACUGAGGGUGUCCUUUUUCUUGCCCAAUUCAAAGAUCCACGCCCGCGGAAGUGAUAGCUGGUCUAAAUUCUCCGUUUUGUCUCCGUUGACGUUUCUUGAUUUGGUAACCAGGCUUUGGGUUUUCGAAUUGGGUCGGAGAUCAGGAUUGUUUUUUUUGGUUCCUAAUCUGGCGGAGGAGGAGGAGAAAGUAUCCACUCGAAAGCUCGCGAAUUGGGUUCUUUUUUUAAUUCUUAGAGUAGGUUGAAUUUUGUGAUUAGGGUUUCGAAGGGUCCAAAUCUGAGGCCUUUCGAUACUUUUUAGUUUGCAGAGAGUGGGUUUGGUUUUUGGCGGGAUUGAACAGGAGGAAUCUGGGGCUGCUGAUCCUGUUUGUCGAUUGGCAAUUGGGUGGAUUUUUUCGGUGAAGUUUUUUUGGAUAUACCGAAAAGGUUUUCGCAGUAUAAUGUCUUGGUCUGGCCCUGAAGAUGUCUAUCUAUCUACUUCCCUUGCCAUCUAUCUUGACAGCGGAAUUUUAGUGACUAAAGAGCACAUAUUAGGUUCAGGAAGUCUGAUGAGUGAGUCCAUUGGAAUGCCUUUUGAGCUUGGUGUAUUCUGGGAAUGUCCUUUCUUUGUAUGUCUGCCGAGAUGCUAUUAUCUAUCGCGACUGUGUCUGUUGUCCUAAACUUCUUGUGAUGAUGCUUCAAGUGAUUUAUAAGGUUGAGGUCUUGAAGCAAGACCAGAGUGAAAGGAGGAUUGUUGAGUUGGGAGUUGACUUUUCCUUGAUAUUGAGUUAUCAAAUGUGGUGUGGAAGAAAUGCAUUGCCCACAAAAAAUGAUAGGAUGAGCUAUUUUUCCCAAAGAGAAAAGACAAGUUGACUCGUAUGAGUGAGCAACCACACGUUCAAAAAAUUGGUUCAUGGGACUUCUGCCUUUUUAAUGCAAGUUUGUGCUUUGCCAAAUAUGGCAAACACAUAAUUAUACUUCAUAUUAAUCUGUUGCUAUGUUAACAUGCC